CGCGGCCUAUCAGCUUGUUGGUGGGGUAACGGCCUACCAAGGCAUCGACGGGUAGCUGGUCUGAGAGGACGAUCAGCCACACUGGGACUGAGACACGGCCCAGACUCCUACGGGAGGCAGCAGUAGGGAAUCUUGCGCAAUGGGGGAAACCCUGACGCGGCAACGCCGCGUGUGGGAUGACGGCUUUCGGGUUGUAAACCACUUUCAGUGAUGACGAAAAUGACGGUAAUCACAGAAGAAGGUCCGGCCAACUACGUGCCAGCAGCCGCGGUAACACGUAGGGACCGAGCGUUGUCCGGAUUUAUUGGGCGUAAAGAGCUCGUAGGCGGUUCUGUAAGUCGGAUGUGAAAACUCAGGGCUCAACCCUGAGACGCCAUCUGAUACUGCAGUGACUAGAGUCCGGUAGGGGAAGAUGGAAUUCCUGGUGUAGCGGUGGAAUGCGCAGAUAUCAGGAGGAACACCAAUGGCGAAGGCAGUCUUCUGGGCCGGUACUGACGCUGAGGAGCGAAAGCAUGGGGAGCAAACAGGAUUAGAUACCCUGGUAGUCCAUGCCGUAAACGUUGGGCACUAGGUGUGGGGUCUUCUAACGGAUUCCGUGCCGUAGCUAAUGCAUUAAGUGCCCCGCCUGGGGAGUACGG
rnacentral:rRNA from 1 species